rnacentral:rRNA from 1 species
UUGACCUCGAAUCAGGUAGGAAUACCCGCUGAACUUAAGCAUAUCAAUAAGCGGAGGAAAAGAAACCAACAGGGAUUGCCCCAGUAACGGCGAGUGAAGCGGCAACAGCUCAAAUUUGAAAUCUGGCUCUCGGGCCCGAGUUGUAAUUUGUAGAGGAUGCUUUUGGUGAGGUGCCUUCCGAGUUCCCUGGAACGGGACGCCAUAGAGGGUGAGAGCCCCGUCUGGUUGGACACCGAUCCUCUGUAAAGCUCCUUCGACGAGUCGAGUAGUUUGGGAAUGCUGCUCUAAAUGGGAGGUAUAUGUCUUCUAAAGCUAAAUACCGGCCAGAGACCGAUAGCGCACAAGUAGAGUGAUCGAAAGAUGAAAAGAACUUUGAAAAGAGAGUUAAACAGUACGUGAAAUUGUUGAAAGGGAAGCGCUUGUGACCAGACUUGGGCUUGGUUGAUCAUCCGGGGUUCUCCCCGGUGCACUCUUCCGGCUCAGGCCAGCAUCAGUUCGCCCUGGGGGAUAAAGGCUUCGGGAAUGUGGCUCUCUCCGGGGAGUGUUAUAGCCCGCUGCGUAAUACCCUGUGGCGGACUGAGGUUCGCGCAUUCGCAAGGAUGCUGGCGUAAUGGUCAUCAGUGACCCGUCUUGC